rnacentral:rRNA from 1 species
AGAGUUUGAUCCUGGCUCAGGAUGAACGCUGGCGGCGUGCCUAACACAUGCAAGUCGAGCGAAGCACUUUGCUUAGAUUCUUCGGAUGAAGAGGAUUGUGACUGAGCGGCGGACGGGUGAGUAACGCGUGGGUAACCUGCCUCAUACAGGGGGAUAACAGUUAGAAAUGACUGCUAAUACCGCAUAAGCGCACAGGACCGCAUGGUCUGGUGUGAAAAACUCCGGUGGUAUGAGAUGGACCCGCGUCUGAUUAGGUAGUUGGUGGGGUAACGGCCUACCAAGCCAACGAUCAGUAGCCGACCUGAGAGGGUGACCGGCCACAUUGGGACUGAGACACGGCCCAAACUCCUACGGGAGGCAGCAGUGGGGAAUAUUGCACAAUGGGGGAAACCCUGAUGCAGCGACGCCGCGUGAGUGAAGAAGUAUUUCGGUAUGUAAAGCUCUAUCAGCAGGGAAGAUAGUGACGGUACCUGACUAAGAAGCUCCGGCUAAAUACGUGCCAGCAGCCGCGGUAAUACGUAUGGAGCAAGCGUUAUCCGGAUUUACUGGGUGUAAAGGGAGUGUAGGUGGCAUCACAAGUCAGAAGUGAAAGCCCGGGGCUCAACCCCGGGACUGCUUUUGAAACUGUGGAGCUGGAGUGCAGGAGAGGCAAGUGGAAUUCCUAGUGUAGCGGUGAAAUGCGUAGAUAUUAGGAGGAACACCAGUGGCGAAGGCGGCUUACUGGACGAUAACUGACGCUGAGGCUCGAAAGCGUGGGGAGCAAACAGGAUUAGAUACCCUGGUAGUCCACGCC